AGCGUGCGGUGCCGGGUGGCUGGCUCCGCCGCUCCGGAGCCGGGAAGGACGCGCGGCGGAGUCCUGCUCCCUAGCGGGUCUGCUUACAGGCGUUUGGUUUGCUUUUUAAAAUGAUUUUCUAUGCGAAAAGUGAAGUGAAAACUUCCAAGUUAAUUCCCUGGGCAAAAUGGGCAGUGCUAGCCGAGGAACGGCUGGUGGGCGGCGCGUCCGGCCCCCGGCUUCGGUUUUUCCAGCUGCACCGAGCGGGCAGGAGUCAGUGGGAAACCGCCCGCCAUCCACAGCCUGCCGUUUGCCAUCCCGGUGUCCCGAGCGCGAUGGAAGCCGGGUUGACAGUGGCACUGUUUGGAAUACAGCGCCAACCACACAUCCUGUGAGGUCCAAAGCAAACGCCAGUGUCGUUGAUCAUCGCGGUGCCCCGCGAGCCUGGGCGACGUGAGGCCCCGCGGCUGCCGCCCUGUCUUCAGGCGGAGUCCCCGCAAAUGCACUCCCGCGCCAGGGCCCUGAAGCUGCCUUAGCCCAGUGGCGCCCGGGCUCCAAGCCUUUUAAGUAGAACGGGACCUGGCCUUCGUACAGGCGUGUUGUAAAUGCUACCCCCUCGUCUCCAGCACAGAUGAGUAGACAUUACUAAGCACUUGACCCUCCAAACAUCGCCCCAACAGGAAAGAAUGCACGCUCCGUGAAGAGAGGAUAGGAAUGGCCUGUCCCUGCUGUGCACCAGCUCAAGGAUUGUCUGACACAUGAGUCCUUGGUGAACAUUGGCAGAAUGACUGGCAGCUGAUUGAUUGGCCCAGCAGGAAUGGACACGGGCAGUUGCCCUUGUCCAGCUUCCAGGAUCUGUUACACAGGCCUAAAGCAACAACCAGAAGCCUUCCUGGGUGUUUACAUUACAGCACACCAGACUGCAGGCACCGCCGCCCCUGACACUGCCUGCAGCUAAAGUCACCAAGUUUGCCGUGCCCCAUAACUGAGGUCAUUGGCAGCCCAGCACCAAGCCUCACUGGCAUCGAGGGCAGCAGUAACAGACAUCCCCAGGACCUCAGCGGCUCAUAGGAACGACAUGGCACACAUUGGUGGUGGCUCUCCUCCCAGGCAGUACCCCACAUCUUGUCUUCCGUGUUUGGGCACCCAGGCUGGAGUAGCAACCCAUCUCAGUCAAUGGCAAAGGAAGCAGGAAUGGGAGGUUCUAAUACCAUCUCACUCAUCCUUUGGACCAAGGACACCUCUCCCAUGCACUAUGCCCCAUGCCUCUCUCUCACUAUGGCCCAGUCCACGCAUGGAGGUCCCAGUUGGUGCUCAGGUUCUAGUGUUGUCACCACCUUGCUGGCACUCUUACCCCGGCCACCCUGAACCCCUUCAGACCCUCGGCUGCAGCCUGCUUCCACGCUGCAGAGCCUGAGCACUGCCCUCUCUGUCUGGGAAAGCUGUCCGUGAGCCACUGAAGCCCCCCGCCCCCAACUUUCUGUCAACCCUGGAAUCUGGCUCAGCUGUCCUCGGGGAGGCCCUCUCUUGUGUCUCUGGUCCUUUGACACAUGGUCAGUUCAUUGCAGGUUUACUCACUUAUGUCCCUGUGUUAGCUGCCUGUACCUGGGGACAGCGACAAUGCCAACUCUGUCCACUCUUGUAUGGAAAAGCUCAGCAAAGGGCCUGGCAGACAGCUGUGUCCAAUGCAUAGUUGUUGACUGAAUAAAAACAAAGCCGCUGACUCUCCCUAAUCCUAGACCCUCAUCUUCAUACCAGCCUGAUUUUUAGCCACUCACCCACUUGCUGAAGCCUGGAACCUACCAGAGCUGGUUUGCCCAUAGCCCCUGUGCAAGCCUCGGGCUACCUUGUCUCUGACCUGUGCCUCAGGGUGCAGUGUUUCCUGGACACUCCCCUAACAUCACCUUUGCCUCUCCCGGCGCAGUGCCAGCCUUCCAGACCCAGGUCCAACCAAGACCUCUGUAAAGCUUUCCUGGCCGCAUCAACCUUAAAGUAAUGAACGUAGGAGAGAGAAAUUUGUAACAAUUGUGGAAAUUACUGUGGUGAUUGUGAAAAUGAAUAAUAGGGCUUUUCUUAUUGCCUUGAAUUACGUUAGCUCUUCCACUUUUUAAUUUUCACCCUUUUGCUCAGCAUCCCCGGUGGACUAGAGGCUUUGUCCCAACAGGAGCCUUGCCACCCCCCCGGAAUCUGAGCCCUUCACUGGACCCAGCUCCGUGGCCUGCAGACAGGAAGCCCCCAGUGAACACAUGCUGGCGUGGUGUGAAUUCACCCCCCUGCCUCUCCUCUCCUUUGUGCUUCCCAGGAGGGGCAAUGCAACAGGCAUUGCAACAGUCAUCCCCAGCAUCACAGGGCAGAAACUCUCCACAAAAGUCUCAAACUAAACUGAGAGAGACAUUGUUCACUUCCAAGUGCUUCAAACAGCAAAAGAGUAAGGCUGAGGACAAGAAAAGUAUUGACGACUGGUAAAUAUUUAAGGAGUAACCGAGUCAAUGCCAAGCAUGCUGAGCUCUGAGCCAAACCACAUUCAGGAAGAGAUCAACGUAGAGCACAGAAGACUUAGGUUUGCACAUUUGCUUGAAAAUGUACGCAGUUACUAAGUAAAAAUUAAAAGAUGAUUGGCU